GCUGGCUCUGCUAAGCCUUGCCUAAUGCAAGCUGCUUUAGUAUGCACAUCACAUCAUGCCGGCUAUACUGCAGGGAGCAGGCAGUUAUCGCACAAGCGUGCAUCCUCAGAGCCAGGAUAAACACUCCGUUACUCUCCCUCUAAACUGCUCUUCUGGGAGGGAGAGAAAAUAAAUAGGGAGUGAGAAAGGCAUUUGAAGUAACCUUUUCAAGAAGGAGGCAGCAGCCAAUAGAACCUUUCUUUCUUUUUUUUUUCUUUUUCUUUUUUUUCUUUUUUUUUUUUUCCCACUUCUUACUAGAGAAAUUUGUGGUGCUACCUCAGCAAUUAAGGAGAAGAGCCAGCAUCUAGGGUUCCAGACUGUGAGGGGGAGUAGCAACUUGUACCAGUGUCAACCAGGCUGGUACAAAUCUCUUGGAGAAGACAGACAUCAUUCAAGAGAAGGAGUAAAGCAGCAUAGUCCUGCCACAGUCCUCAGCUGAGCUUGCAGGAGAUGGAGAGAGGCUUCAUUGAAUCUUCACAAAGGGAAGAAUUUUCCAAUUAAUAAUUAAAUUGGUUUAAAAGAAGCAACUACAGCAAGAUUUUGCUCUGAAUCGCCUGG